rnacentral:misc_RNA from 1 species
UGAAUUUGUUUGUUUGAAAUAAUUUUUUUUCCAAAAAAAUUAUUGAAUGUCUUUCCCUGUUUCGUUGAAGCGUAAAAGUGGAGACCAAGCAGGGGAAUGGCAAACAUUAUUUUUUUGAAAAAAGACUUUUUUUAAAAUUAAACUUUUUGUAUUCAUUUGUCUAAAAUUAUUUUAUAAUAUAAAAACAACUUUUGACAAUGGAUCUCUUGGUUCUCGCAACGAUGAAGAACGCAGCAAAAUGCGAUAAGUAAUGUGAAUGCAGAAUACGUGAAUCAUCGAAUCUUCGAACGCAUAUUGCACUUUUUUAGUUUACUAAAAAGUAUGUCUGUUUGAGUAUCAGUAAAAUAUUCUCAUAAAAACUUUUUUUGUUUUUAUGGUUAUGAGUGUUUUACAACGAUAAACAAGUUGUUUCACUUUAAAUUCUUUGAAAUUUAAAAAUCGUUAAAACUAAUUUUAAAAUGAUUUUUUAAAAUUGGAUAAAAUUUUCCCGUAAAAAAGGAAUAACCUAAACAAUUUAAAAAAUUUAAAAUUGGUUGAUUUUUUUAAAUCCCAAAAGGAAAAAAGUAAAAAUUAACUUGAUCUCAAAUCAGAUAAGAGUACCCGCUGAACUAAGCAUAUCAAUAAGCGGAGGAAAAGAAACUAACUAGGAUUCCUCAGUAACGGCGAGUGAAGCGGGAAGAGCUCAAAUUUGAAAUCUUCAAGGUUCUACCUUGACGAAUUGUAGUUUAAAGAAGUGUUUUCUGUUGGAAUAGUUUGGUAUAAGUUCUUUGGAAUAGGACAUCAUGGAGGGUGAGAAUCCCGUAACGACCAUUUAUUCCAGCUCUGUGAUACACUUUCAAAGAGUCGAUUGUUUGGGAAUGCAGUCCAAAUGGGUGUAAAUUUCAUCUAAAGCUAAAUAUUGGCGGAGACGAUAGCGAACAAGUACCGUGAGGAAAGAUGAAAAGAACUUUGAAAAGAGAGUUAAACAGUACGUGAAAUUGUCAAAAGGGAGCGUUUGACACCAGUGUUGUUUUCUCGAAAUCAAUUAAAAAUGGCUUGAUUUUGUGUAAGGCGACCUUAUCAGCGUUUUGCACUCUUUUCUUGUCCUUUUUAAUGCACUUUUCGUUUAACAAGUCAACAUCAAUUUCUUUUGUUGUAAAAGAGUCAUUGGAAGGUGGCUUUCUUUUCGGAGAAAGUGUUUAUAGCCUUGGCUUCUGCAAUCGGAGAGUUGAGGUCUGCAGCGUAGAUCCUUCGGGUUAGAUGCAUUAGUGCUAAGUUAUAGCCUUUCACAGACAACUUGUUGACUAUGAUCAGUCAUGUAGCUUACUCGCUGAUGUAUUUUUACCUACGCUUAGGAUGUUGAC